CAACUCUUCUCCUCAGGCAGUGCGAGAGCGCCGGAGCCGUUCCUCUCCUCCUCCCCCAGCAGGCAGGGCUCAAGAGGAGCGCAUGGGAGCGCUCUCUCUCUCUCUCUCUCUCUCUCUCUCUCUCUCUCUCUCUCGCCCUCGUUUGUCUCUUCACAGGGUGAUGAGGGAGCAGCGCUGUGGGCGGUAGAGGAGGUGCGUGGCAGUCCAGGAAGCUCUCAUUCUGCCGCUGCGUGCUGCUUUGCUGUCGUCCAGCUUCACCCAAGUCUCCCUCACUCGGUGUGUGUGUGUGUGUCAGAGUUGCCUUCCCCUACCUCCUCUCUCCUCCCCUCUCAUUGAUUCCUCUUUCCGCCUGCCUUUCGUGUGCGCUCUCUAUGACUUUCUGAGCCUUUUCCUUCCAAUUUCUCCUUCUUUUUCUUUCCCCUUUGCCGUGUCCCUUUUUUGUGCCUCUCCUCGUCUUCUUCGCCAGCCGGGAUAAGACACAUGCAGCCUUCACUGCAGCGAGUCAAGCAAGUCAAGCACUUGGGAGGUCGAGCCCUGGUCACGCUGCUGACUUUUGGACAGCAAAUACCAAGGAGGGGCAACUGGGAUGUGUCCAACACACGCACCUCUUCCUGUGCGCCACACGAGGUCUUGGAGGAACGAGUCGGCCUUUCUGGGGUCUCCUGUCAGCAUGAGCACAGAGGCCAUGUGCACUGGCUGGCACAUGGUAUUGGGAAUUAUGCGCAGCUGGCUUGAAGCCAGGUACAGUAAACAGCACUACUGGGUCAGGGCCUGAGUAACUGACAGAUACCCCAUCAGCCUUUUACCGUGAAAAUCAAAUAAACGUGCUUCGUUCUCAGCCAACACCAUGUUCAUUUUUCAUGCAUUUACACACACGCACGAACGCACGCACGCACGCACGCACGCACGCACGCUCAUGAUCAACCUGCCACCCACAUUCCUGUUUUCACCACCAUGUCAAAAAAGUGGCACUGAUGUCCGGACACAACACACACACAAAAAAAGAUAAAAUACUGGAAAAUGCACUUAACAUUGUUCUUACCACAUAUGUUGUGUUUAGCAAAAAUCUCCACAGAACCUUGUUAUUGAGUAAAAUCAAAUAUUUUCAAUGGUCUUCUAUGAAGAGAGCCUGACCAAAUUGUUUAUUUUACUAUAAGUUACCAUAUUGUGGCCCAAACCGAACUACAGUAACUUACUGUGAGCUUAUUCACAGUAUGGUGUGAAACGUGGGUGAAAAGCUACAACACAAUAAGGUUUUACAUUGCACGUUGUACAGAUUAAUCUUAAUAAACCCGACUAACCAA